rnacentral:lncRNA from 1 species
AGUGUCAAACUUGACAUCAGACUGCGAGCGGAGCAUGGUAACUUCUCCAGCAAUCAGAGCGCUCCCCCUCACAUCAGUGGUAUGCUUCGCGGAGAUAUGCUCCUCUCACUGCCCGGUGCACCAGCAACAUGGAUUGUCACCUCUCCAUCCUCGUCCUGCUCGGCUGCUGCGUCCUCAGCUGCUCCGGAGAACUGAGCCCACAGCCUUCCAACGAAGUUAAUCUACUAGAUUCGAAAACAAUUCAAGGAGAGCUGGGCUGGAUCUCCUACCCAUCCCAUGGGGUGAGUUAAAUAGAUCCCUGAAAUGAGUGUAACAAUGACCUUUGCCUCUUUCAGAGACAGUAAGGAAUGGUUGGUGUAUUUUCUGAGGAAAGCUCUGUAAUGAUGAUGCACAAAUCCAAGAACAAGUACAAUUUAAUGUUGAUGUCCUGUGUAGCCUCUGAAAAUUUCAGAGUUCUUUACUCCUGAAACCAUACUUGCUGCACUGGGAUGUUUAAAUAUUUUAAUUGUAAUAGGCAUUUUAUACAUAAUCUAAAUUUGAUAGGAUCAAGAUAGAUAUUUUGACAUGACUUCAAAAUUUGACAUUAUAUUCAAAGUAUUUUUUGGAAACAUUUUUCCAAGUCAAAGCCUUAACAUCAACUAUGAUGAUAAGCUCAAGUACAACAGAAUUCAUUUUCAAAUGUGGAAACAUAUGCUCCCUUUAUUUAUUUUGAAUAUCUUUCACUUAUCCAGAUUAUUUUAAAACUGGGAUUUAUUUAGAUGCUAAAACCGGUACUGCUUUAACUUUUGAAGUUUUGAACUGUUGAUAGAAAUUUUAGAGUUUACCAGUUCAGGCACAGCUUACUAAGCUAUAUGGCAUUUUGGUGCCUCAAAUAUUUAUAAUGAGCCUUUGUUACAAAAAUUUAUUUAUUUAUUUUGGAAAAAAAAAUAGGAUCAUAUAUUUAGAAAAUUCUCAUGUGUCUCAAAACUGUAAAUUAUUUAAACAUGCUUUAUUUGUGAGCAUAGCAUGAGUGGAAUGCAAACAGUAUUGAAUAUUUCUCACAGGAACAAUUUUAUUUGCUCUUUUUCUUUCUCUGGUUGUAUUCUUUUCAAAGUGAUUUUAAUUACUAUAAUUUUCUGUUGGUAUCCAUCUUUAGAUUUGGAUGCCUAAAUAUCCUGACUUACUCACACAGAACUAUCAACCAUUCCUUCACAAAGGGAUGUUUUCUGUCAAGGGUACUUCAUCCAUCUGUCAUCCUUGCCUCUGCUUUUCUUUCCGGCACACCUUGAUGUUGACACCAUGCCAGAACCCAUCAUCAGGGCUUCCAUGUUGCUUUGGAACAGAGAGAAUGAAAUAAGCCAGGAUUUGGCUUCCCCAUAGGUGUAAAAGAAUUAAAUAAUUGGGAUAAGACACAGCUUGGACCGUCAGAAAAAUAUAUCCAAACUCAGGAUUGAACUGAAAAACUCACAUAAUACUACUUAGCUAAAAGAUAGACCUAAAUUUGCUUUUCUACUUUUGGCUUUUAUAUUUUUUUUUCUCUUUCAUUUAUUUUUUUUCAUUAUUUCACUGAUGAUAUAUUAUGGCAAUCUACUAUUUAAAUAUAUGAGAAAUAUGAAUUCCAUACUGACAAUUUUGCUGACACAUUUUUUAAAAAAUAGCACAUAUGUGGCUAUUUUUAAAGACAUUUUUAAAAUUUAUUUUAUUGAUGAGUAUACUGUAGCUGUCUUCAGACACACCAGAAUAGGGCAUCAGAUCCCAUUACAUAUGGUUGUGAGCCACCAUGUGGUUGCUGGGAAUCGAACUCAGGACCUCAGGAAGAGCAGUCAGUGCUCUUAACCACUCAGCCAUCUCUCCAUGCCCUGGCUAUUUUUUUAACUACAGGAAAUUAAUUUGUAUACCAAAACAACAGUCUACAUGUUUUACUUUUUAUGAAGACAUAAAGAAAUGAACUUACCACAUAUUAAGAAUUAGGGUAAAUAGAUUUUUUUUAAUUCUCUGCACAAAUUAAGAAUUUCCCAUUGUUAAUCUCGAUGACUUUAUAAUAAAAUAAGUUAAGGGUGUGUCUACAUUAAGACACAUGUUGGGUGUUGAGGGUAGAGUGAACAAAAUCUUCUAAUAAAAAGUAUGGCAUAUAUGCCAAUCAACAGUAUCAGCAAAUAAGGUUGAUUGAAAAUGGAAACUGAAUGUUACCUCAGACCUCCUGAACCAGAAAGUGCAUCUCAGCAUGCUAUCUCCCAUUUGGUUGUUAAGCACAAACAUGGGCAAAAUCUCUCUGCCAGUUGUGCUUGCAUUGGCCAGCCUGCCUUACUCUUUCCCUCAGUGCACAGUUUUCAAUUACUUCUUUGUCUCUGUGUGGGAGAAGACAUUUUCCCUCAGUGAUUUUCUUUCUUCCCUUUGCUUCCCUCUGUUGAUCUUGUAGACAUGAUUUCACAUUUUUAGAUGUUUCACUGCAGGCAAACGACUUGAAGUUUAUCACAUAAUUUUCAG